UACGUAGGGCGCAAGCGUUAUCCGGAAUUAUUGGGCGUAAAGAGCUCGUAGGCGGCUUGUCACGUCGGAUGUGAAAGCCCGGGGCUUAACUCCGGGUCUGCAUUCGAUACGGGCUGGCUAGAGUGUGGUAGGGGAGAUCGGAAUUCCUGGUGUAGCGGUGAAAUGCGCAGAUAUCAGGAGGAACACCGGUGGCGAAGGCGGAUCUCUGGGCCAUUACUGACGCUGAGGAGCGAAAGCGUGGGGAGCGAACAGG
rnacentral:rRNA from 1 species